UUUCGAUUUAGAUUAAGACAAACAGUGUAACUGCACAGUUUUUUUUCUUCUCUAUUUAUUUAUAAUGGUAGUGUAAACUAUGUUUAAUAUAAACGACUUGUUUGUGAAUCAUACAAAUACUGUAUAUACACAUUUUAAUAUAUAAAGUGUAUUAUUGAAUGGCAACAUAUUCAUUUUUUUGGCAACUCACAAUUCUACAUAGUUAGUUUUGAGCAACUUUCGAUUUCGCUUACGAUACCGUUAGGUAUGAUAUCGAUACAAAUGUCUACAAAUAAGUACAAAGACACAGUCAUGGCCGAUUACCUUAGGACAAUACUAUUAUUUGCCUAAGUGAUCUAUGCGGACUGCUGCUUCAUCAUGAUGCGUGGGGCAGAAACUAUCGAAUGCCAAUCCUCACAAGAACUUACGUUCCAGGUUACUAGAGACAUCGACAACGAGACAUGGAUCAUUGCCGAAUGCCACCCAAAGGAGAAAUCGUGCUUUUUGAGAAAUCAGUCAUAUGAAUCGAAUUACAUUAUCGCUAACACAAGUACAGGAGGAUUGCUUGUAGUUAGAAAUUUUACAAGAGAAACAUUCGGUGUUUACAAAUGUUUUGAAACAUACAACCCCAAAAAGUUCAAAACAAUCGACAUUAGCAGUAGCACUGUACCACCAGAAUUCUUUCAACUGGAAACACAAGUACUGCCCCUGGAUUUGUUCACGUCAUUGUGUCUUCGCUUGUCAAUUACGUCAUAACUCUUUCUCUGCUCCUGGGUACAUUGAUUUUUGUGACGUCAUACGACCAACUUUCCCAGUUGUAAUCUACAUGCAUAGGUCAUUGGGUUUAUAAUUUUAUUUUUAUUUUCUCUGUGACAGGCGUUUCUUGUUUGAUUAAUUUCUUAGCAGUACAUAAACAACUGAGCAAUGUGAUAUGGAACUUUUACACCCAUUAUUGCUGCUUCUUCCUGUAUUUGUGCGAUGAUGAACUGAAAUAUAAACUUUAUGAUGCUAUAUUUUUUAAUCUUUUUCUAUAAAGAAGGAAUGUAGUUGACACUUGUUCAUAGUUUCAUUCCAUCGUUCCUCAAAAAGUUGUAACUCUGUUGCUCUGGUAUCUUCAAUACUAUUGAGUAAUUAAAUGGUAAUUAAAUUGAAUGCGUUUUAAUUCCCUUUUAUUAUUGUUUAAUUUGAGUUACAAUGCUAUGAGGUCAAAUUAUAUUUACACUUAAAUGUAUAAUAAAUAUUGCUGGGCCAAGUGUGAGGUUGAGCGCUCCAAAACCGGUUUAAAACCCCAAUGCUUUGCAUUGACCGUUCCAAGGCGGUGACCCUAGCUUUAUUCUUAUUUGUGUUUAUGUUGUUUUGUAUUGUGCUGUAUUGUGCUGUUUUGUACUGUUUGGGCAAUCGGUCACUUGCCUUAAAUAAAGGACCUACUAAUUGUUUAUAAUAAUAAUUCAAUACUACUCCAGCAGCUGGAGUUUCACUUCUUUAUAUUAUAUUAUAAAAACUUUUUUUAGUGUUUUUCCAACACAAAAUUACAUGAAGCUGUCUUUUUUUACAGCCUCUCCUCAGUUUGCUCUAAGUUUGUAAACUUUAAAUGUCGUCAGAGCAUAAUAUUUAGAGGAAAUGCAUAUGUUUUGUAAAAUUGGAUAUGUAAUCUCCAACAAAGAAAUACUGCCUGUGAUCUUGUUAUUUACAUAGUUUUAUUUACACUCUUAAGAGAAUAAUAGAUCUAUUAAAAGGAAAUGCUUAUGUUUUAUAAAAUAUUUCAAUUUGUAUAUUAUAUUGAAGUAUUUUUUCUUGUAAGGUAAACAUACACUAGAGAUUUUAUCCUUUGUAUUAUGAU